CUUCAUGAAUAACCUAAGGCUUACAUGUUUCUUUACUUGAGACAGACUUGUGUAGGAAGUUGAAGCACUGAGCUCAUGGAUGUGUUCUUCUCCACGCUCUUAAAGGUGGGUGCAGCUCUCCAGCCCGAGUAGGGAUGGAUCUCAUCCAGAGAAGCAUCCUUCCCUGCUGUCCCAAACCCUCCUGGAAGGGUGCCUUGGUGCACAGUGUCUGACCAUGGAGAAGCCGUGCAGGGGGCAUGGAGUGUCUGAGUGCAGAGGGUUUGUGAUGCUCAGCACUGAUCCUGCAGCCUGAACUGCCAUGUCUCUGGGCAGUGGCCUGCCUUGGCAACAGGCUUCAACAACAGGGAGCUCUGCUGCAUCUGGAGAGAGCAGGAUAACUUGGACUGGAAGAAACACUGUGGACUGAGUACAGGAAAGAAAGCUGUGUAGCAAUGGAAGACCACUCUUAGAAGGAACAUCCUCUGGUGCCAAGGGACACCACUUCAGCAAUUUUGGAUUUGGAUUGCCAGGACCGGCAGAUUGCACCUCAACCAUCCUGCCUGAGAACUGUUUACAAAAUAGUCCACAGAUCUCCUGGCAGACUCCAAAGCAAAACACAGCUCCCAGCCAAAGUCUGUGUUUUGGAAACUGUUUCUUUGAGCGUGCUGAAAAUAUGCAGUCAAUCUGUGCAUGGCUUGGUAUGAAUUGAAUUCAUUUGGCAACGCUACUUAGGCAUGGAUGGCUGAUGGACCAUUUCAAGUCAUUGAUUACAGAGGAGGUUGAUCAGAGAAAUGUUCUCAUUGACCUGAAUCUGAUUCUCCUCUUCAUUACUAAAAGCUAAAUCAUUUUCACUAUGAAGGUAAGGAAUGAGUUACCUUAUUAUCAUAUUUAUAUAUUUAAUGUGUAUGUUUGUAGUUUCUAUGAGAGCUAUAUAAAAUAAAGAAUAUAUUGUGCAAAAACAUUUCAUAUAGCCCUGGGAACAAAAAACACACUACAUACAUAGAAACUUGCUUGUUUCCAGUGCGUAAAUGCACGAGAACAACUCUCAGAAGUUUCUUUUGAUAGUUGGUGACGUUGAUGGCUCUUCUUUUCUACAGUUUUUCUGUUCUCUGCGUUCUUGUGUGGGUUUUCUUUUUUCAUUUUUAUUUUUUCUUAAUUUAGUAUCCUGUCCAUUUAAUAAUUCAAUAUUUUAUGUUGAUAAUUCAUUUUUAUUUAACUGAUUCCUUGCUUAAAAUACCUGAUUUUCCAUUCCCUUCGGUAGAGAUCUUCAUAUUAUUUUGUCUACUCAGUUUUCCACAAAACCUCAGUAGACUCAUGAAUGGUACACUAUUACUGCUUAACAACAUAUUUACAUUUUUUAAAUGUAAAUGAUCUUCUCACUGUGAGCUUUAUUUCUCAGACUAUCAGGUAAAAACCUACUUAUUUAUUUAUUUUGGUAAACACAUAAUGCCAAUAUUUCAUGGUACUAUGUAGAUAGCAGAUCAACUUGUUUCUUGAGUCAUUCAAAAAUGACAGUUAUUCACCUAUUUUUUCAACUAUUCAUGAAAAUGGACUUCACGCAUGCCUCCAUUUAUGUGUGUGGGAGCAAUCAAGUCUAAAGGAGCCCACGGUGUCCUUUAUUUGCAGCCACUGGACUUUCCUGCUGUAGAGAGAGCUGAAAGCAGUACUAAGAAUUUAUCUGGAGAAACCAAGAGCACCACCCAGUUACAGGCAGUUGGCCACGUGGAGGCCUAGAUUAAAAUUACCUUGGC